AACAGGGUCAAGGUCGCAAGGAAAAUAUGGCUGACUUACAAUGCACGUGUUGAAUGUGUUUUUCACGACAAGGAACAAGUUUAAGGUUUUCAAAGAAAACUACCGAAUCGACACGUACAGAAUCAUGGAGGACACGCGACACCUCAUAUGUACAUGUAUAAAGAUAGUAGAAAAAAGACAAAAGUCCACGUCAGCAGUCAAAGUUAUUCAUGUCAUGUUUUACAAGUCCGUGUACUGUAAGAGGCUGUAAGUUCAUUUAGACUGUUACAAGUUCAAGAGGUUAUACAAGUCUAAACUUAUUCAUUGUGGUGAUUCAAUAAAAGUCUCAAGAAAAGAUUAAGGUGUUUGUCAAGAUAUUGGACACUACAUCGCAGUUUAGACUUUAUUUAUUGGACUGAACAUGGCCACUAAACCAGAAUAAGAAGUGCCAAGGAGAAGUGGCAGAGAACCUGCAGCAUCCACAAAAGUAAAAGAAAAUUGGCAGCAGAAAGUAGAUCAGAGGGAUGAAAAACUAGUACAGGUGGUGAAGAGAAAAAAUUCCCUCAGGGAGGCCAUGAUAACAGAAAAUAUAACUGUAGUACCAGACAUACUCAAAGCACUGGACGAUGCAUGGAAGGGUUAUACCCGCAGCCAUUUAGAGCUAAUAAAGGUGUAUGUCACUGAAAGUAUGAUUGACGCCACAUACGACGAGUAUGAAGUAGAAGAAGAAAAAUAUCUCAGGGUCAAGGCAAGGGCAAAGAAAUUUGAAAAGGUUCAAGAUGAUAUUUCUUCAAGCCAUGGGAGUGAAUCAGAAUCAGACGUACGGCACGCCAAAGCGGAAAAAAUUGAAGACGGGAAAAUUUCCUUCAAGACAUCAAAAAUACGUUCAAGACACAGAUAUUUUGUCUCAAUUCAUACAUUUCCAUCGUCUAGAUUUCAAAAAUAGCUUCAAAUCGGAAAUUUUCUUUCAAAAUGACAGAAUAUCAGCGCAAGAUAAAAUUUUAGUUCAAGACGGCAAAAUCACCUUCAAGACAGCAAAAUUGGCUUCAAGAUUCACGUGACUCGUCAAGAUUCACGUGAUUGCAUUUCAUAAAGGAGGUUUUAGUAUUGAACCAGUGGUCUAGUAAAACCUGGCUUAACAUCAUUCUAAACCUGGUUUAGACAGGUUUGUGUUUCAUAAUUGAGGUCUAAGUUUUUGAUACCCGGAUUAUGGACUCAGACCAAGUCUAAAAAUAAACCUGGUCAGACCCAGGUUUAACUCUGUAGCUUGGAAAAAAGAUGGCCGACGUAGACUUGGGUGAUAUUCGAGCACUUAACAAUUUGGACGCAAGAAGACGCCCCUGGCAUCGCCGACGCAUUUUUCGAGCAAGGGUUAAUUAUUUUGAUUUCUAUGAUGAACAAGAUUUCAAAAUCAGGUUCAGAAUUUCUAAAGAAAUAGCAUGUGAGGUCAUAGCACUGAUAGAGGAUCGAUUAGCACCCUAUACAUUGAGAAAUUGCAGCAUUUCACCGGAGCUACAGGUGCUAACCUUUCUGCGAUACUACGCAACAGGUAGCCAUCAACGUGCUCUUCAGCAGAAAAAUUCUUUUUCUGCUCAUUUUCACGUGCCCUUUACUUCCAAAGUUUUUUCUCAUAUGAGCUACACAGCUUAUCUGCUUCAACGUUAGUGUGUGUCAUCUAUUCAUUUACGCCUACCUGAUUGACACAGUUCAGUGAUUUCUUUGUCUAUGUAAUCCUGUUACAUUCAACAGGAGGUCAAAGACAAGUUAAAACUGGUUUAGCUAAACGUGGUUUUCUGGCUUUCCUACACUGUUAGUGAAAUGCAAUUUAGGUCUCGAGUUAGACCAGGUUUUGUUAGACUAGGUUUUAGCCUUAAACUAGGUUAAGUUAAACCUCCUUUAUGAAAUUGGCCGCUAAUGGCUAGGGUCUACUAUAACACAAAAGUCUAUCUGCAUUAGAUAGUUACUACUGCAAUCUUCAUUCUUUUCAGAGCUGACAAUAAUGAAAUAAAGGCCCCCAUUGCUGAUCUUGUAAAAAGUCAUGUUGGCAGGCUUAUUCAUGAUGGGGAUAACAGACAGACCCUGAAAAUUAGUAGGAUACGGCUGUUUCGAAGUUUCAUGAGAUGUGUUGCCAGGGACGACCUCGAGGACACUCUCCCUAUACAAGUCAAAUUCUAUGAUUCCAUGAAUACAAGGGAUGAUAGUGGACCACAGCGAGAGUUUAUGUAUCGUCUUGUAGAUGAUUUGUUUUCAACAAAUACUGGGAUUUUCCAGCAGCUUGACAACAAAAGCUACAUGUUGACACACAAUGCCAAAAAGCUCGAAUCCUCUGAAUAUUAUUGGGCUGGCUAUGCUGUAGCAAUGUGCCUAAUUUUUGGAAGACCUUAAACAGCCUUUUUCACACCAGCCAUGUACAGCUAUGUGAGUAAUGGGAUUGACAAGACGGUGACAGAGAUUACUGACAUCCCCAAUACCUCUGUGAGGCAUCUUAUAGAGUAGGUAUGUUACUUUAUAACUAAUCUUUUUAAUUGGAAUUAUUGGCUAUAAUGUCAUAAAAAUUUAGACACUAAUUUCAUGAUUUAAUGAUUAAAUGAAUUAUAAUUUGCUAGACAGCCUAGGGGGCAGGCCAUACGUUGUGUACAUGUAGAUGAUCUUUGGAAAUACUUACUAGGAGAGCUUACGUCAUGAACAAACUCACCGAGUUGCAUAGUUUUACUAUUAAUAAAAAUGACAGUGUAGUUUCCAAAAGUAUAUAACUUCAAAAGCCGUAUAUGAGGUUGAAUAUGAUUUCUUUCAGAUGCAAGCUGCUAAAUCCACUGAAGAACUGAGGGCUACAAUACAACACGUUGAUGAGCUCACGUUGGAAGAUGAAGCCUCACUUCUACUGGCAGCAGGCAUAUUCCACCUAGUGUUACCCUUCUCGAACUGCCCAAUAUUGUACAUCAACUUACAAAAUUCUAUGCCAUUGGUUUAUACAGAUCAGAGCUUGAAGAUUUCUCACGAGGACUUCAGCAUUAUGGAGUGGCGAAUCUUAUCAGAGACUUCCCCAUUUCCAUGAGGGAUGCCUUUGUACCUCAGCCAACCACCAAGGAACUCACAUCAGAUGACAUCUUAGGCAUGUUUCAGCCGCUUUUCACAGAUGAGGGUGCCAAUCAGCGACAGCGGGAGGAAGAUGUUAUGGACCAUUGGGUCAGUUAUCUAGAUGAUGUUGGCAAAGGUAUAUAUUUUUACUUUUUCUCACCACAUUUAAUUGCACGAAUAACAUAGAUUGAUACCACAACUUUAACUGUGUUCACAUGCUAAUAUUAUUUUUGUUGCUCUUAUGAUUUCAGGCAAAACGGUGGUGAAACCUAAGGAUAUUUUGAGAUUUGCUUCUGGCUUGAACUCUGUCCCACUUAUUGGAUGGGGUAGCAAUAACGAGCCAACACUGCAGUUUCUCUCGGAUCCUCCGUCUCAACUUCCUCAAGCCAGAACAUGUGGUCCCUCUAUUUUGCUGCCGCUGUGGAACUACGAGUCAUAUGAAAGUUUCAAGCUGAGCAUGGAUGAAGGAAUCAUUAACAGUCUCCCUGCAAUCCUCCUGGACUGAUGGAAGAAUCUACUAUAUGUAUAUUCUUUUCUUAAUCACUCCCUCCAAAUUUUAACUAGUCCAUUGCAUUCAUUACAAGCUAACUGCUGAAUUAUCCAGUGGAAUCGUAUCAUCCCAACUUGCCAAUUCUCAAGUUAGAGUGGUCUCAUUUUAUAUUUGGGUGCUUAUAUUUUCUCUAUUCAGAAAAUGAUCUAGUUUAAUAUUACACAUUACAAGUACAACCAAACUGGUGAAUCUCUAGUGAUAUAAUAUUAUGGCUUGCCCAUUCUCAAAUUAACGUGAGACAGGGCGCCUAAAAAUAGGGUCUCUGGGAGUCAUAAAUCAAUUUUCAGAUUCUUUCAUUUUCACCUUCCUAAGUGUGUAUAUUUUCGGAAUAAACAAGUCUAACAACCAAACUGAAAGCGUAUGAGCCUUAUUUUUGCUCAU
rnacentral:misc_RNA from 1 species